UGUAAGACUGGGAUAACUCCGGGAAACCGGGGCUAAUACCGGAUAACUCAUUUCCUCGCAUGAGGAAAUGUUGAAAGGUGGCUUUUAGCUAUCACUUACAGAUGGACCCGCGGCGCAUUAGCUAGUUGGUGAGGUAACGGCUCACCAAGGCGACGAUGCGUAGCCGACCUGAGAGGGUGAUCGGCCACACUGGGACUGAGACACGGCCCAGACUCCUACGGGAGGCAGCAGUAGGGAAUCUUCCGCAAUGGACGAAAGUCUGACGGAGCAACGCCGCGUGAGUGAUGAAGGUUUUCGGAUCGUAAAACUCUGUUGUUAGGGAAGAACAAGUACCGUUCGAAUAGGGCGGUACCUUGACGGUACCUAACCAGAAAGCCACGGCUAACUACGUGCCAGCAGCCGCGGUAAUACGUAGGUGGCAAGCGUUGUCCGGAAUUAUUGGGCGUAAAGCGCGCGCAGGUGGUUUCUUAAGUCUGAUGUGAAAGCCCACGGCUCAACCGUGGAGGGUCAUUGGAAACUGGGGAACUUGAGUGCAGAAGAGGAAAGUGGAAUUCCAAGUGUAGCGGUGAAAUGCGUAGAUAUUUGGAGGAACACCAGUGGCGAAGGCGACUUUCUGGUCUGUAACUGACACUGAGGCGCGAAAGCGUGCGGAGCAAACAGGAUUAGAUACCCUGGUAGUCCACGCCGUAAACGAUGAGUG
rnacentral:rRNA from 1 species